AUUGAACGCUGGCGGCAGGCCUAACACAUGCAAGUCGAGCGAGCGGGGGGCGGGUGAGAAAUGUAUGGGGACUGCCCGAUAGAGGGGGAUAACUACUGGGAACGGUAGCGAAUCACGCAUAAUACAUGAUAAUCCACAUGGGAUUAGCUAGUAGGUGAGGUAAUGGCUCACCUCUGCGCCGAUCCCUAGCUGGUGUGUGAGGAUGAUCAGCCACACUGGGACGUAUACACGGCCCAGACUCCUACGGAGGCAGCAGGGGGGAAUAUUGCACAAUGGGCGCAAGCCUGAUGCAGCCAUGCCGCGUGUAUGAAGAAGGCCCUAGGGUUGUAAAGUACUUUCAGUCGGGAGGCGUUACCGCCAGAAGAAGCACCGGCUAACUCCGUGCCAGCAGCCGCGGUAAUAC
rnacentral:rRNA from 1 species